rnacentral:misc_RNA from 1 species
UUAAGUUCAGCGGGUAUUCCUACCUGAUCCGAGGUCAACCUUUGGUACGUUUGGUGGGUUUAGCGGCCGGGUGGCCCGCCGUGGAGAUCCCGCCGAGCGAAAUACAGCUACUGCGCUCAGGGUCCAAGCGGUCCCGCCGAUGCAAUUGGGGGCCCCGGUCGUGGUUACCACCGGGUGCCCCAACACCAAGCCCUUGGGGG